rnacentral:rRNA from 1 species
AUUGAACGCUGGCGACAGGCCUAACACAUGCAAGUCGAGCGAGCGGCGGACGGGUGAGUAAUGUCUGGGAACUGCCCGAUGGAGGGGGAUAACUACUGGAAACGGUGGCUAAUACCGCAUCCUGUCGGAUACCCCAUAUGGGAUUAGCUAGUAGGUGAGGUAAUGGCUCACCUAGGCGACGAUCCCUAGCUGGUCUGAGAGGAUGAUCAGCCACACUGGGACUGAGACACGGCCCAGACUCCUACGGAGGCAGCAGUGGGGAAUAUUGCACAAUGGGCGCAAGCCUGAUGCAGCCAUGCCGCGUGUAUGAAGAAGGCCCUAGGGUUGUAAAGUACUUUCAGUCGGGAGGCGUUACCGACAGAAGAAGCACCGGCUAACUCCGUGCCAGCAGCCGCGGUAAUAC